rnacentral:sRNA from 1 species
UGGGCAUUGCUGCGCUAAGGAGAGUCUUAACAGCUUAUGCUUUUCGAAAUCCCAACAUAGGGUAUUGCCAGGCCAUGAAUAUUGUCACUUCAGUGCUGCUGCUUUAUGCCAAAGAGGAGGAAGCUUUCUGGCUGCUUGUGGCUUUGUGUGAGCGCAUGCUCCCAGAUUACUACAACACCAGAGUUGUGGGUAAGUGGAGAUGCAUUUAACAUUUCAACCUAUGUCUCGUCAACAAGAUGCUUUUAGAGAGGUGCCAGCUUGAACACUAUUUCUGGUCACCAUAAGCCAAAAGAGUUUCAAACUACUCCAGUUUUUCAAAAUGGAAAUGAGAGAGGUUGAAUAAAUAUAGGUUGUAUACAA